rnacentral:rRNA from 1 species
UAGCGUAGGUGGCAAGCGUUAUCCGGAAUUAUUGGGCGUAAAGCGCGCGUAGGCGGUUUUUAAGUCUGAUGUGAAAGCCCACAGGCCUCAACCGUGGAGGGUCAUUGGAAACUUGGAAACUUGAGUGCAGAAGAGGAAAGUGGAAUUCCAUGUGUAGCGGGUGAAAUGCGCAGAGAUAAUGGAGGAACACCAGUGGCGAAGGCGACUUCUGGUCUGUAACUGACGCUGAUGUGCGAAAGCGUGGGGAUCAAACAGG